AUUGAACGCUGGCGGCAGGCCUAACACAUGCAAGUCGAGCGGAUGAAGGGAGCUUGCUCCUUGAUUCAGCGGCGGACGGGUGAGUAAUGCCUAGGAAUCUGCCUGGUAGUGGGUGAUAACGUCCGGAAACGGGCGCUAAUACCGCAUACGUCCUGAGGGAGAAAGUGGGGGAUCUUCGGACCUCACGCUAUCAGAUGAGCCUAGGUCGGAUUAGCUAGUUGGUGGGGUAAAGGCCUACCAAGGCGACGAUCCGUAACUGGUCUGAGAGGAUGAUCAGUCACACUGGAACUGAGACACGGUCCAGACUCCUACGGGAGGCAGCAGUGGGGAAUAUUGGACAAUGGGCGAAAGCCUGAUCCAGCCAUGCCGCGUGUGUGAAGAAGGUCUUCGGAUUGUAAAGCACUUUUAUUUGGGAGGAAGAGCAGUAAGUUAAUACCUUGCUGUUUUGACGGUACCAACAGAAUAAGCACCGGCUAACUUCGUG
rnacentral:rRNA from 1 species